rnacentral:rRNA from 1 species
AACGAACGCUGGCGGCAGGCCUAACACAUGCAAGUCGAGCGGACCCUUCGGGGUUAGCGGCGGACGGGUGAGUAACGCGUGGGAAUAUGCCCUUCUCUACGGAAUAGUCCUGGGAAACUGGGGGUAAUACCGUAUACGCCCUUUGGGGGAAAGGUUUAUCGGGGAAGGAUUAGCCCGCGUUGGAUUAGGUAGUUGGUGGGGUAAUGGCCUACCAAGCCGACGAUCCAUAGCUGGUUAGAGAGGAUGAUCAGCCACACUGGGACUGAGACACGGCCCAGACUCCUACGGGAGGCAGCAGUGGGGAAUCUUAGACAAUGGGGGCAACCCUGAUCUAGCCAUGCCGCGUGAGUGAUGAAGGCCUUAGGGUUGUAAAGCUCUUUCAGCUGGGAAGAUAAUGACGUUACCAGCAGAAGAAGCCCCGGCUAACUCCGUG